rnacentral:tmRNA from 1 species
GGGGGCGAAACGGUUUCGACGGGGGUAGAGUAAGUCGGAAAGCGAGCCGUGGAAGACUGUAACCACGUAAAACAAUCGGUCAAAAAGAGAAUUGCCGAAGAAAAUUACGCAUUAGCUGCUUAAUAUAAUAUAACGCAGCCGUCCUUCUAACCGUUGGGGCCGAGCGGUUAGCAAGGGCGUCAUAAAAUUGGCCCUUACCUGAAAUCCAUUCUCCCGGGAUUUCGGGGACAAUUCAGGGAGAUAGUCUGGCGUUAGCCUGCCUGUGGGCGAACGCCAGGCGAAAGCAAAACACAGGCUGCGCUCGGAGACGUCCGGCUUACUCUACUUUCGGACGCGGGUUCGACUCCCGCCGCCUCCACCA